CAGCGACUGAAAAGAGCCACCCACAAUGUGCCCUGAGCAAACUGGGGGGCACCGUGCCACUUCCUGUCAGGGUGGGACCUGCGGGUUUCAGGCUCUGCUCUGAGGCGUGUGGCCCGGGGGACGCGGUGGAGGCGCCAGCUCGGCAGGUGGCUCUGCAGUCGGGCACAAGGUGGAUGUGGAAACUACGUCACUCCAGUCACAGCAACCGAGGGCCGUGCCUCAGGAGGCCUCUGACCGCAGUGAACGUAGGCAAAGAAGGGAGGGGAGGCACCGCAGCGAUGGGACAGCAGGGCGAGGCCUGGGGAGGUGGGAAGAUGCACUGUCUCUCCCCUCGCCUCCUCCUCCUCCUCCUCUUCUUUUGCGAUGCUAGGGGUGGAACCCAGGACCUCACGAGGGCUAAGCUCACAUCCCACCACUGAGCCACGCACCGGCCAGGACAGUCGCGGCAGGGUCCGGUGACGGACUUGGGAUGGGCGGAUCACAGAAGGCUGCUUCUGCCAGCCCGAGGAGGCCAAGGGGGACCCUCAGGGCAGCGGGUGAGUUGUCAGCAGGUACAGGCCUCGAAGGUCACUUUGGCAAGGAAAGGCGACGACUUCCGGUCUUCAGCUGCCCAAGUGGACAAGCCCCUUCGUGUACCCCAAAGCACCCUCUGAGCCAGCCCACAGCCUGGGCCAAACCAGCUAGUUUCUUGGAGAUUUUUUUUUCUUUUUUGCCAAUGAACCAGGAAAACAGAAGGCGGGAAGAGGAUCAAGGGAAUAUUCCGCAAGCUUUGUUUGUCUCCAGAUUCCCAGCAUCAGGGCUGGCCCCGAGGUCACUCGUAGGAUAGGAGGGCGACUGAGGUGACCACCAAUGGCAUGGGCUUGAGUAUUUACUGGGCCAGUACCUACUUCUCUCAGGAGGGGACACAGGGUGCGACUCUCUGGUCCAGCCCCAGGACCAGUGGCUACGCUUCCCCUUUGGGCUUUUCUGCCACGGACCUGCUGUGUGACCUUGGUACUGGAGAUGGAACCCAGGGAGCCCGAGCUACAUCCCCUGCCCUUUUCAUAGUCCGACGGGGUCUUCUAAGUAGCCUGGGCUGGCCUCAAACCGUCCACCCUCCUGCCUGAGGCUCCUGAGGAUCAGGGUGUGCAGGUGCGCACUCUCACGCCUGGCUCGAGCCAGGACUGUUGUCAACUCUGUUUUACAGGCAGGGAAACUGAGUCUCGAAGGGCUGCCUGGCUUGGCAGAGGGAAUGCUGCUGCGGUUGAAACGCACGCCUGGCCUUGAAACCCACUCCUCAUUGUGUUUCACCUGCCUACAGAUGAACCCGGCUCCAGAAUCUGGGGUAACCGUGCUCUACGAGGACCCAGGUCCCUCCUGGAGCGCGCAGCUCAGGUUGUCACCUCGGCCUGGGUGUAGACCGGACUCAGAUGGGUCAUUCAGGAAGCAGGAGCAGGGCCAUCCUGUGCCAACUCCGGCCUUCCUCUUAAAUUCGGAGCCCAGCCUGGUACCCAUGUCAUCAAUAAUCGCGCCCAAAAAUAGUUCACUGGGCCAGCCAGGGUGGAGUGCCGGGACGUCCUGUUCCCGUCGGCUCUGGCCAGAGUGACCGUGCACUUGGCCUUCCCUGUCUGAGGCUGCUGGAGGGGAGGGCUGAGCUCACCCUGCCUGAGGUUCAUUCGUGGGAACGCGCCAGGCUCUCAAGUACCAGCACCCCAGCCGUGAGCACCACACAGCUUCCGGAAUUAGCAGCUGGCAAGUGCUCCAAACCUCUCAGCAGCUCGGGAAAGACUGGAACAGGAAUGUGAUUGCGGAUGAGGAAGCAGCUCACGUGUGCCGGGGAGGACACAGUGAGAGCCCGGAAGAUCCAGGGCUGGGCAGGGUCCCCGGGGGAGCCUGGGAGCGGGGUCGCAGCACUAGAGCUCCCGCCUGAGGGUGGCAGAGGAAUUCCCGGCAGGUAGGGGCUCCUCCCUGGACCCUGGCAAUCCCGGCUUGAUGGCUGCUCACAAGGGGAGUGGGGAGGACCCUGGGACUUCGGGCUGGUUCCCCACGGUCGCAGCAGUGACACAGCUCACACUCGCACCCCUCCUGAGGCCAGCCCUGUCCUGCACCUGCGCUGACACACUGAGUCCUCGGGACCCUCAGAGAAGGCGCUAUCAUUUCUUUCGUCUGACAGAUGAGGCCCUGAGGCUGGAUCAGAACUGUAGGUCCCCCAACGUCACAGAGGCAGCCAGUGGCCGAGCCCGGGAUGCCCAACUCUCCCCUCCUCCCAGUGUGGGCCUCACGGAGCCACAUCAGUUCUGCAAGAACUCGUCUCCUCUCGCCAGGGUCCCUGGAUGCCCCGGUGAAGCCUCUGCCUUCCCUUUCACCAGGCUCCUCCCUGGGGAGCCUCUCCUGAGCCCUGCUCUGUUCUCCCAGCUCCUUCUCUAGCUCUGACCCCUCAGCCUUCGUCUUAUAAAUUCCUUGGAAGACACUGGGCCCACCAGAUAACCCGGUGCAGCUUCCUGUACCAAGGUCCUUCAUGUAGUCACAUCUGGAAGGUGCCUUUGCCACAGGUCCCAGAGGUUAGGGCACUGACACAUUUGGGGGUAAUAAUUCUCCCCAUCUCAGGAGCAGAGCGAGCUUCCAGCCUUCCUGGGAGCACCGGGCUGCGGCUGAUGGAGGAGGCCAGCAAGGUAUCAGGAGAGCUGAGGGUCCCAACAUUCUGGUUUUCAUAUGUCAUCAACUUUUAAAUGGUGGCAAAUAAAGCAAAAUUAAGAGAGGCACUUAAAUACACCACACACACACACACACACACACACACACACAGGUCAGGUGAGGCCCAUGGGCUGUGGGUCUGUGUUCGUCACUGACCAGGGAGAGAGGCGAGGGCUCACUUAACCCUGCCAGGGUCGGAGCAAGGGUGACAGGGAGGGCAACCCUGUGCCCGCUGUGCCAGGUGGAAGAUGCACAGGCAGGGUGUGAUCAAGAGGGGACCAGCACACUUCCACAGGAUGAAGGGAGGCUGUGUGGCUCUGGACCAGUUCCUGGCCUCUCUCUGCCUUUGCUCACAGAGGAGGGACUCUGCAGAGCUUUUGUGCUCAUUAUGGCCUGGCCCUGGGGGCUCAGAGGUCCCAAAGCAAAGCAAGCCCCUGACUCCAAAGGGACAGGGUCAGACCGUGGAAGUGAGGGGUCCUGGAGCUGUCUGGCUCUCCUCUACUGGCCUCUGCAGCCUGCACCUUGUCAUGAAGGAGCUGUGGCUCAUGAAUUUUGCUCAUUUACUGAGCGCUGACCAAAAGCCUCUGUGUUCAGUGCUGUUACAGCCUUGAGGCCAGGACACAGGGUUCACACAGUCAGGAAGGACAGAACUGGGGGAAAACCAUUGGCCCAGGACUCUUCUCUCGGCCUCUCUGCGUUGGCCUUGAGCAGAUCGGUGGCCAGUGAGGCCCUUGUAGACUGUGUGGCCCGAGGAGAGAUGUCACCUGGGUCCAUUCCCCGCCUUUCUGCACUCAUUGCCUGGCCAUCCUUGGUGUCCCCUCAUUCCUGGCCAGUUGUCCAAGGCUAGUGUCCAUCUUGAGCACCCACUGUGUAUCAGGCACAGCUCAUUUAACCCUUAACAACCCCGUGAGGCAGGUGUAAGAGCAGAUGAGGAAACCAAGGCUGGACAGGGCCGUCUCCUCCCCAGAGUCACACAGCCAGAGCCAGUGCCACCUCUGCCCCUGCUGCCGGUGGGGACAUAGUUCGGCUCCUCCUAGGGCUUCUCCCUCCUGCUGCCCGGCUGCUGCCUGAACAAAGCCCAGAGGAUUCCAUUUUCCUGGAAGUCCCCAGUUUGGAGGCUUCUUUUGGGGACCUGGCGGCUGGGUUCCUAAUGUGCUCAGAGGCCCGUUCCAAAUUGCUCCUCCCACCUCCAAACCCAGGGAGCUGUGGAGUGUUCAGCUUCCUCCUGCCGUGGGCACUUACUGUGGGAAAGGUGAGGAGGAGGCCAGCGAUGGGCACCGGUGGCGAGGCACAAGGAAGGCCUUAGGGUCCCAGGUGGCAAAGGCCAAGGGGGGCCUGGCCUGGAGGGGAAGCCGGCCAGGCAGAUGCAGCGGUCUUAUCAGAGCGUCAGUGGAAAUCGAAGCAGGCCCCGCUGUUUAUUAACUCUCCUACCUUUUUGACAGAGAGAGAUCAAAGGUGAAAUCCAGGCCUCUGUUCUGCACACCUCCUCCCUUCCUCCCUUCUUUUCCUUUCCUUUUGGAAGCCUGGGCACUAAAAGCCUUAAAUUCGAGAGAGGGGGUGCUUUUGUCCUUGCCAAGGUGACAGCAGAAACUUAGCCUCUGAUGUCCCGAGUCUUUGUAGAGCUUCGGCGUCAGAUACCCGAGAGAGUGGUGGCCAGACAGACGCAGGGGCUCACAGGCCAGAGGCCGUAGGGGUGGUGGGGACUGUGGCACCGGAGACCCGCAGAAACGCCCUGCUGCCCUGCGGAAAAGGAGGGCCCAGUGUGGCCAGGCUUUGGGGACAGCCCAGAAUUGCAGAUACUUUGUGUGGGAUCGCUGGUGAUACCUAUGUGCUAAAAGACAGGAGUCUGUUUUUACUCUUUGCUAAUGGUGUGCUGGGCUUGCAUCUUGGAUUAAAUAUUCUGUUUUCCCAGGGGGUUGCAAGGCCACCUUUGUCCUAAUUCUUCCUACUGGUGUCCUAUUGCAGACUUUUCUUUGUGACCUUGAAGAUUAUUUUGUCCAAUUAAAAAAAAAAAUCCUGUGAGUCACUACUUGAAAUUGAAUUAAGUUGAUCUCUGUUGGCAGAAUUGUCAUUUUAAGGAUGUGAAAUCCAUUCUGAGAGGGUAAGAAAGGAAGAUUUCAGGUUUGAGCCCAACCUAGACGACCUAGCAAU